rfam:Schistosoma mattheei strain Denwood, Zambia genome assembly, scaffold: SMTD_contig0000161
GCGCUGUUUAGGAGUCCCACAAUAGGACGAAACGGCCGUCCAGUGC